AAGAAAUGAAACACUGAUAUUGUUCUCAUUACAUAAAUGAUUAUGCUGAAAUUACUCUUACUUUUUAAAUUUUUACAGUCAAAAUAAUCAAGUUUCAUUGCAUUAAAAUAAUAGUAUGAGAUUUCAAUGCAACACAAUACUGCAGAUUCAAACCAAUGUAACCAACUUACUUUAAACGCACUAGCACUUGAAUUGUCCCAUUGCGGUUUCCAUACCCGCAGUUUCGCACAUGCACGGUAUUUCUGAGGGGCACAGACGCCAUUUUCACCACCCCAAAAGCUUGCGAGAGACCUCCAGGUGUGUCUCGGGUUUCAACGGUAGCCAUCCAUCAUUUAUUCGGUUUGUCAGCAAGUGUCUUACCUCACUGAUGCAAAGCCAGUAGCUCAAAUGUAGUUGCUCUGAAUGUGGAGGUGCAAACAGUGUUCUGAAAGUGCAUCUACGAGAAUCCCAGUAUUGAAGUACGACGGGAGUGCAUCCUGAAAGCAUUGUGCAUCUACUUGAAUGAAAAGUCUGACGGCCUUAUGAAGGAGUACUUGGAUUUUGAUCUUGCUUCAGUGAGAGAAGUGGAGAAAAUGGUUUUGGGCGUCUACAUCAUCCGACAUGAGGGAGCAGACUCUACAGAUGUACCUGAGGAUGUUGGCAUAGUCAUUGAGGGAUGCACAGUCCUGCAAGAUCUGGGAGAUGUGGCAAAUGGAUGUGCGGUCUUGCUUGGCUUGAUCUACUGUUUAAACUUGAGCUAUCCCAAGGACCUGCGAUACACGUUCGAUUUUUUUCAGAAAGUGUUGAUGGAACUGGAUGGGAGCAAGCUCUCCAAUAAAGUGCAGGUCCUCAAAAACAAACUGCUUGAGUAAAAUCACGUACAGUAGAUACGACUUCUUGGAGUUGGAGGACUUCUUGGACAUGGAGUUAGACUUCUGUUGACUCUUGAUUAGGCAGAGAUAUUGUCUUUGGAUUUUGGACUAAUGAUGGACAAAACAAUGUGAAACAUAUUUUGGUUGAUUUUGUAAUCUGCAAUGUUUCAAGUUUUCAGCUGUGAUGCAUGUUUGAAUUUCUUCAGAAAGUGAUGGGAGUUGGAUGGGAACAAGCUCUCUAAGGUGCAGGUCCUCAAAAGUGAAAAUGCAGUAAAAUCACCUGCAGUAGUCAAAACUGGGAAUGAAGUUAGUCUAGUCUUUGGAUUUUGCACUAAUGGUGGAAAAAAACAAUUGAUCUAUAGACUUUUUUUUUUCUCAAUAAUAAUUGCUGUUUCAGCUGUAAGCACAUGUAACUUUUGUUUUCUGAGCUGGACCCAAAAACAGUUUAAAAAGGACAGCCAAUUUUGAUAUUGUUGAAGCUGUCUCAAUGCUAAUGUUGUAUGGUCAGUUUUAUUAUUUUUUUUUUUUUUAUAAUAGUAUUGAAAACUGUUACAAUAAGCUUUAGGUCUCAGGUCUUCUAAUCUGGACAUCAUGAGUCAGAUAUUUUAUGAGACAUAAAUGUAGCUUCGAGGUACUUUAGAGUUUUUUCAUGUUUGGAAAUAAAACAGUUAAAAGGUAUUCAACUUUAGUAUAAAGAAAUUGACAACCCUCUUAAAUAUGUGCAUUGAAUAAGUUUAUUUAUUUAUUUUUAAUUAUUUUUGGACUAUUUGUUUUAGUGAAAGUACAUUUUCAGUUUGUAAAUUUGUGCUUAAUUUGUUUAUGUAUUAAAGAGCAGGUUUUAUUUUGUAUUUGUUUUUUUACAUAUUGUCUUUGAUUUAUAAUGGUCUUAAUAUAAUACCUAAUGAAAUACCUUUCAUAACUUUUGACAAAAUGU